rnacentral:lncRNA from 10 species
UGGAUUUCUUGAAUUACAGGGGUAAUGAACAAAACAGCCUUGUGUUACUUACUUGUAUUCAAUAGGCUUUCAGAGGACCAGGGCCCAGGUGAUCUAUUGAGACCCAGAAUGGGAGGUGCAUACCUCCCAUCUAGGGGGUGGGGAACUCAGCAGCAACUAGGAAGCUGUGGGGGCACCUUGGCCUUGCACUCAGGGCUCAAAGGGCAUGGAAGCAUCACAGUGAAAGCCACCAUCAUGAGAGAGAGGCCCAAGAAUACAGAUGGACUUGCACUUGAGUCCACUGGGCUUGUCCUCGUGGACAAGACGAGGUGACACUCAGGCUCUCCAGGAAGUCACAAAGCUGCACAACGGUGGGGCUGAGGAAAUUAGCCAAGGAAUCAGCCACGUCUCCGGGGCAUCCGCCUCUUGUAUUAGAGGUGUCUUCAGCUCUAUCUUUGCGUGUCCAGGCUGCCACCAGGUAGCUAACACAGAACUGUCCUGGGCAACUUUUGUCUUUGGUACUCUGUGCUUUCCCUGUUGACAUCCUCAGCUGCCACCUCCACAGGCCUCACAUUGUAUUCCCUGUGGCUCAUGCCCGUGAACACUCUCUACAGGGACUUGCUUUCAGCACACUGUUAACUAAUUGACAAAAAUGCUAGCUAUUGAAGCUCGAAGUGUGACCUCUUCCAGAAGUGCUGAGGUCUUAAAAGGUCAUUCUCAGAGCUCAAAAAUCUUUCAAAGACACAAAGCUAGACAGUAAAAAUUGUUAGCUCUGUGAAAACCAAAGUGCAAAGCACUUAAUAGCAAUAGUUGUUUCUUACUGAGUACCAUGUGUCGGGCACCAUGCUAAAUAUUUCACAAACAUUAAUUCAUACAUACUACAGCAGCCCUGUGUGGUAGAUACUGAAUCAAGCCCAUUUCACAGGUAGAGAUGCUGAGGCUGAGCUUGGUAAUAUGCCCUGCCCCAUAUCACAGAGCCAGAAAGAUCAGAGCCUGAUUUGAACCCGACUCCAUGCUUAUACACC